rnacentral:rRNA from 1 species
UCUGGUGGUGAUGGCGAAGAGGUCACACCCGUUCCCAUGCCGAACACGGAAGUUAAGCUCUUCAGCGCCGAUGGUAGUCGGGGGUUUCCCCCUGUGAGAGUAGGACAUCGCCAGGC